rnacentral:rRNA from 1 species
UUAUCUCUGUAGAGUCUGCAUAUCAAUAAGCGGAGGAAAAGAAACUAACAAGGAUUCCCCUAGUAACGGCGAGUGAAGCGGGAAGAGCUCAAAUUUGAAAUCUUCAAGGUUUGACCUUGACGAAUUGUAGUUUAAAGAAGUGUUUUCGGUUAGAGGAGUAGUAAAAGUUCUUUGGAAUAGGACAUCAUAGAGGGUGAGAAUCCCGUAUUUGACCUAUUACUUUCCUAGCUUUGUGAUACAUUUUCAAAGAGUCGGAUUGUUUGGGAAUGCAGUCCAAAAUGGGUGGUAAAUUUCAUCUAAAGCUAAAUAUUGGCGACGAGACCGAUAGCGAACAAGUACCGUGAGGGAAAGAUGAAAAGAACUUUGAAAAGAGAGUUAAACAGUACGUGAAAUUGUCAAAAGGGAAGCGUUUGACACCAGUGUUGUUUUCCUCGAAAAUCAAUUAAAAAUUGAUUCAUGCCAGGUUGUAUUGACCUUAUCAGCUUGCAAUUUGGUUUUGGGUCUCUUUUUGAUGCACUUUUCGGUUAACAAGUCAACAUCAAUUUCCUUUGCUGUAAAAAGGUAAGAGGAAGGUGGCUUCAAUUUCGGUUGAAGUGUUUAUAGCCUUUUAUCUCUGCAGUCGGGGAGAUUGAGGUCUGCAGCGUAGAUCCUUCGGGGCUAGAUACAUUUAUGCUAAGUUAUAGCUUUUCAUAGACAACUUGUUGACUAUGUUUAGUCAUGUAGCUUACUCGUAAGUGCUAUUUUACCUACGCUUAGGAUGUUGAGCGCAUGUCUCUCUCU